rnacentral:rRNA from 1 species
AUUGAACGCUGGCGGCAUGCUUUACACAUGCAAGUCGAACGGUAACAGGGUGCUUGCACCGCUGACGAGUGGCGAACGGGUGAGUAAUGCGUCGGAACGUGCCGAGUAGUGGGGGAUAACGCAGCGAAAGUUGUGCUAAUACCGCAUACGUACUGAGGUAGAAAGUGGGGGACCUUCGGGCCUCACGCUAUUCGAGCGGCCGACGCCUGAUUAGCUAGUAGGUGAGGUAAAGGCUCACCUAGGCGACGAUCAGUAGCGGGUCUGAGAGGAUGAUCCGCCACACUGGGACUGAGACACGGCCCAGACUCCUACGGGAGGCAGCAGUGGGGAAUUUUGGACAAUGGGCGAAAGCCUGAUUCAGCCAUGCCGCGUGUCUGAAGAAGGCCUUCGGGUUGUAAAGGACUUUUGUCAGGGAGGAAAUCCCUGGCGUUAAUACCGCUGGGGGAUGACAGUACCUGAAGAAUAAGCACCGGCUAACUACGUGCCAGCAGCCGCGGUAAGAC